GUAAUGUUCCCCAUGUUCCAGGAGCUUGCACCACAUGACCAGCAAGACAAGUGCGGUCACCACUAUGCCAUCUGCCUUGACCUGAAGAACCAAUGUUUUGAGGUGCUUGAUUCAAUCCGUUCGGAAGCUGAUUCAGACCUUACUACGCAUGCCAAAUUCUUCAUCAACAACCUCAAAGAGACAUGGAACCGUCACUAUGAACAUUCAAAGGUCCAGAUUAGGCAUUUCCUGAUUGAGUAUGUGGCGACUGUGAAGCAAGGGAACACUACGGACUGUGGCUUUCAUGCGCUGGAAUACUUUGCAAAGUGGGAAGGCAGAGUUGUCCCCGCUAUCUCAACUGCAACGGUCGUUGAGAUCCGAAAAAUCCACACAUGGAAUUGGUUGACGAAUAAAGAUUUCAACAAGCGGUCCAGAGCACGCGAGUUCGUAGAGGAAGCUGUCAAG
rnacentral:rRNA from 1 species